GAAAUGCGAUAAUUAAUGUGAAUUGCAGAAUUCAGAGAAUCAUCGAGUCUUUGAACGCACAUUGCGCCCCCUGGUAUUCCGGGGGGCAUGCCUGUCCGAGCGUCAUUGCUGCCCUCAAGCACGGCUUGUGUGUUGGGCUUCCGUCCCUGGCAACGGGGACGGGCCCAAAAGGCAGUGGCGGCACCAUGUCUGGUCCUCGAGCGUAUGGGGCUUUGUCACCCGCUCCCGUAGGUCCAGCUGGCAGCUAGCCUCGCAACCAAUCUUUUUAACCAGGUUGACCUCGGAUCAGGUAGGGAUACCCGCUGAACUUAAGC
rnacentral:misc_RNA from 1 species